CGCUGGCGGCGUGCCUAACACAUGCAAGUCGAACGGUAACAGUCCUUCGGGAGCUGACGAGUGGCGCACGGGUGAGUAACGCGUGGAUAUCUGCCUAUUAGUGGGGGACAACUACGGGAAACCGUAGCUAAUACCGCAUAAUCUCUACGGAGGAAAGCAGGGGACCUUUCGGGGCCUUGCGCUGAUAGAUGAGUCCGCGUCUGAUUAGCUAGUUGGUGGGGUAAUGGCCUACCAAGGCGAUGAUCAGUAACUGGUUUGAGAGGAUGAUCAGUCACACUGGAACUGAGACACGGUCCAGACUCCUACGGGAGGCAGCAGUGGGGAAUAUUGCACAAUGGGCGAAAGCCUGAUGCAGCGACGCCGCGUGCGGGAAGAAGGCCUUCGGGUUGUAAACCGCUUUCAAUUGGGAAGAAGAGAUGAGGGCUAAUAUCCCUCUGAUUUGACGGUACCUUUAGAAGAAGCACCGGCUAAUUUCGUGCCAGCAGCCGCGGUAAUACGAAAGGUGCAAGCGUUGUUCGGAUUUACUGGGCGUAAAGAGAUCGUAGGUGGUUUAUUAAGUCGGAUGUGAAAUCCCGGGGCUCAACCCCGGAACUGCAUUCGAUACUGAUAGGCUAGAGUUUGGGAGGGGUAAGCGGAAUUCCGUGUGUAGCAGUGAAAUGCGUAGAUAUACGGAGGAACACCUGAGGCGAAGGCGGCUUACUGGGACCAAUACUGACACUGAGGAUCGAAAGCGUGGGUAGCAAACAGGAUUAGAUACCCUGGUAGUCCACGCCCUAAACGAUGUCAACUAGCCGUAGCGGGUAUCGACCCCUGCUGUGGCGAAGCUAACGCGAUAAGUUGACCGCCUGGGGAGUACGGUCGC
rnacentral:rRNA from 1 species